GGGGAAGUAUGUAGGAGUUGAAGAUUAGUCCGCCGUAGUCGGUGUAUUCGUAGGUUCAGUACCAUUGAUGGCCAAUUGAUUUGAUGACCUUAGUUUAGGUAUUGGGGCCAAAGGAUGGAUGACCAUUUCAAACGAUCCAGGCUAAGCCAGGAGGAGAGCUCAAAGUCUGAUCUGGGCUGGACUCUUGGUCUGUCGUCCAGGAUAGAGGGCAGGGAUGCCAUCACUACUCACUAUAACCUCAAACUCCUGGGCUCAAGCAAUCCUCCCACCUCAGCCUCCGGAGUAGCUGGGACUACAGCUCUGCUGCCCCCUGCCCCAUACACGUGAUGGAGCAGAAAACGUGCUGUGUGAACCUGUGACUUCAGGGCCUGUUGACGUGGUCGUGCUUGCAUACUCUCUGGACUGGACCUCACUGUGGGAACAACAAGAUCAACAAGAGGAGCAAGAACAACAUCAAGAGUCAGGGCCCGGGGGUCCUGACGGGUACAGGAUGGGUACAGACCCACACAGGAAUCCCAGAGUGUGUUCCACAGCAGGACACGCCUGCGCUGAAAGAGUGGGCAGAAAGGAGCUGACCUGGGAUUAUGAUCCAAACUCAGCUGGGCCUCCCCUACCUGCCCCAGGAUUGUGGAGUGAGAACGUUGCAGCAGGGGAGAACAACGCAGCAAAGCACAGCAGGGGAACCGGAAAUGCUCACCCUUUGACAGGACCAAACCAAUGCACAACUCCUACGUACUGAUGGUGGUCUUACGUUUCCCUAAGUUUCUGCCGACUAAACUGUGCACACGUUCUCAGGACCUCCUGAAGCUGCGUCACAGGCGCUGAUCAAAGAACACAACCAAGGUGAGUGUCAAUCAUUUCAAGAAAUCUAUUUGCAAGGUUAAGGACACACCUGAGAAAAGAACAGAGAACCACAGGAAAAACUGUGGUCCGUGCUUUUCCCAAAGAUUGUCUGGGGGCCUCAGUAAGUAAAGGGGAAAAGUGCGGGUAUUGGGGAAAGGGGAAGAAGUGGAAAAAAUGGGUGUGGGUAAAUCAGAGGCAAAUGGUUGCAUUCUUCUGUCUUUGGUCAGUGUUCACUGAAUACACAUUUUACAUGCGAGGGAGGUAGAGGCAGGGAUGUAGCUUUUUUAUCUUUGUGUAAUAGCUAUCUUAUUUAGGAACCAGAUGGGAAGCAGGUUUGCAUAAGCCAGUUCCCAGCUUGGCUUUUCCCUUUGGCUUAGUGAGUCUGGGGUCCCAGGAUUUAUUUUCCGUUCUCACAGGUUGUGGUCCUCACAUUUGGCUCAAAAUAUUCAAAAUUUUUUCCAGAGUUUGGCCUUUUCUUCAGCACUGGGAAUUGUGAUCCAAAGCUUUUCCUGAUGAGGCACAAAGUUGGAGAAACAAAACGCAAACUAAGCAACAAUGAAACAGAACAGAGUGAAUCUGCUGUAGCUCAAGAGAGGACGUAGCUGCCCCCACCCCGCAUCCCCGGGCUCGGGUUUGCCUUGCUGACCUCUGCUGCCACCUGGUGCCGCACAGAGAAACUGAGGAGAAACCACAUCAGUCUCCUUCAGCCUCAGCUUCACAUCUGUGGGUCAAGCAACCCUUUCAGAAGCUGAAUAAUGUGGGAAAGCUUUCCUCUCAGGAAAAUGCACACAUCCAACUUUGAGA
rnacentral:lncRNA from 1 species